AUGCAGAAUAGCCACCUCCUGGUUGCUCUGUUUCUGCCAUUCUGCUUACCCUGGUUCAGCUGCUUGUCAGGGCGCUUAAGCACGGCAGCUAUGAGAAAAAUAAGACUUACAGGAUCUGAACCAUCAUUAAAGAGGAGAGGUUUUUUCCGCUACAGGAGAUUACCAGUAGAGGCCCAGUCUCUAUCCACAGCAGCAGAUGACAAGUCUCUACGACUCCAUGGUGGACAGCUCCGUAAUUAUUCGAGUACUUCGAUGAGCAAUGAGUCUUUGGUUCCUAAUCAUAAUAUUGGUCUCUUGGGAAGAAUUCAGCAACUAAUAGAUUCCCAUCAAUCAAGAAGGUGCAGUACUGCUGCAUUCGAUGUGCUCAGGAAGGUGCUAAGGCAUGCAUGAACAAAAAGGU
rnacentral:lncRNA from 1 species